rnacentral:rRNA from 1 species
UAGUCCACGCCGUAAACGAUGAUUACUCGCUGUAGGCGAUACACAGUCUGUGGCUAAGCGAAAGUUUUAAGUAAUCCACCUGGGGAGUACGAUCGCAAGAUUGAAACUCAAAGGAAUUGACGGGGGCCCNCACAAGCGGAGGAACAUGUGGUUUAAUUCGAUGAUACGCGAGGAACCUUACCUGGACUUAAAUGUACGUUGCAUUAGAUUGGAGACAGUCUUUUCUCGGACUACGUACAAGGUGCUUGCAUGGUUGUCGUCAGCUCGUGCCGUGAGGUGUCGGGUUAAGUCCCAUAACGAGCGCAACCCCUAUCCUUAGUUGCCAGCGUUAAGUUGGGGACUCUAGCAAGACUGCCGGCGUAAGCCGAGAGGAAGGUGGGGAUGACGUCAAAUCAUCAUGGCCUUUAUGCCCAGGGCGACACACGUGCUACAAUGGUGCAUACAGAGGGUUGCCAAGCCGCGAGUGGAGCUAAUCCCAGAAAAUGCAUCCCAGUUCGGA